UACGUAGGGGGCAAGCGUUGUCCGGAAUCAUUGGGCGUAAAGAGCGUGUAGGCGGCUUGGUAAGUCCGCUGUGAAAGUCCAGGGCUCAACCCUGGAAAGCCGGUGGAAACUGUCGAGCUUGAGUCCGGAAGAGGCGAGUGGAAUUCCUGGUGUAGCGGUGAAAUGCGCAGAUAUCAGGAGGAACACCAAUGGCGAAGGCAGCUCGCUGGGACGGUACUGACGCUGAGACGCGAAAGCGUGGGGAGCAAACAGG
rnacentral:rRNA from 1 species